rnacentral:rRNA from 1 species
UACAGAGGGGGCAAGCGUUGUUCGGAAUUACUGGGCGUAAAGGGCGCGUAGGCGCCCGCUAAGUCGAACGUGAAAUCCCCGAGCUCAACUCGGGAACUGCGUCCGAUACUGGCGGGCUUGAAUCCGGGAGAGGGAUGCGGAAUUCCAGGUGUAGCGGUGAAAUGCGUAGAUAUCGGGAGGAACAUCAGUGGCGAAGGCGGCUGCCUGGCCCAAUACUGACACUCAGGUGCGACAGCGUGGGGAGCAAACAGG